GUGUUGUAGGUGUAAAUAAAAGCUGGGAUCAUCUGGAGAAGAACUUCAGAAAUGGCUACAGCCUAAAACAAUCAAAACUAAUGACACUAAUGAACAAUAAAGCUGUAAGAAACAUGUUUACCAAACAUCAAGACAUGUACCAUGUUACAGUAAUGACAUAUAUCUUCUUACAGUUAAGACAUAUAUCAUGUUACAUUUAAGACAUAUCUCGUGAUACA
rnacentral:lncRNA from 1 species